CCUCUCGUUGGGACUUCUGACCGAGCUAGAUCUAACUGUAUGUAGCUAACACUUUAUGCUUUCUCGGUUUCCAGGAGCUGUUCAAUCCAUCGUUCAAUUUCUUCGCAAGCAAGAGGCCCGAAGUGCAGCGGUAACAAUGUUGGGGAGGACUGUGGAGCUUUGCCUACAACAGCUUGUGACCUUACGACACUCACAGACUUGUGGGCUGCUGUUCACAACAUCACCGAGGGGCAUUUUGUAUUAAGCAUGGGAUGGAAUCUCAGUCCUACUUCAGUUGUGUCUGCACCAAGGCCAGUCUAUGAAAC